UAACGCGUGGGUAACCUGCCUCACACAGGGGGAUAACAGUUGGAAACGACCGCUAAUACCGCAUAAGCGCACGAAGCCGCAUGGAUUUGUGUGAAAAACUCCGGUGGUGUAAGAUGGACCCGCGUCUGAUUAGCUUGUUGGCGGGGUAACGGCCCACCAAGGCGACGAUCAGUAGCCGGCCUGAGAGGGUGGACGGCCACAUUGGGACUGAGACACGGCCCAAACUCCUACGGGAGGCAGCAGUGGGGGAUAUUGGACAAUGGGGGGAACCCUGAUCCAGCGACGCCGCGUGAGUGAAGAAGUAUUUCGGUAUGUAAAGCUCUGUCAGCAGGGAAGAAAGAAAUGACGGUACCUGACCAAGAAGCCCCGGCUAACUACGUGCCAGCAGCCGCGGUAAUACGUAGGGGGCAAGCGUUAUCCGGAAUUACUGGGUGUAAAGGGAGCGUAGACGGUUAAGUAAGUCUGGAGUGAAAGGCCGGGGCCCAACCCCGGGACUGCUCUGGAAACUAUUGAACUUGAGUGCAGGAGAGGUAAGCGGAAUUCCUAGUGUAGCGGUGAAAUGCGUAGAUAUUAGGAGGAACACCAGUGGCGAAGGCGGCUUACUGGACUGUAACUGACGUUGAGGCUCGAAAGCGUGGGGAGCAAACAGGAUUAGAUACCCUGGUAGU
rnacentral:rRNA from 1 species